ACUGCAAGUCGACGCUUCUUUUCCCACCGGAGCUUGCUCCACCGGGAAAAGAGGAGUGGCGAACGGGUGAGUAACACGUGGGUAACCUGCCCAUCAGAAGGGGAUAACACUUGGAAACAGGUGCUAAUACCGUAUAACAAUCGAAACCGCAUGGUUUCGUUUUGAAAGGCGCUUUACGGUGCCGCUGAUGGAUGGACCCGCGGUGCAUUAGCUAGUUGGUGAGGUAACGGCUCACCAAGGCCACGAUGCAUAGCCGACCUGAGAGGGUGAUCGGCCACAUUGGGACUGAGACACGGCCCAAACUCCUACGGGAGGCAGCAGUAGGGAAUCUUCGGCAAUGGACGAAAGUCUGACCGAGCAACGCCGCGUGAGUGAAGAAGGUUUUCGGAUCGUAAAACUCUGUUGUUAGAGAAGAACAAGGGUGAGAGUAACUGUUCACCCCUUGACGGUAUCUAACCAGAAAGCCACGGCUAACUACGUGCCAGCAGCCGCGGUAAUACGUAGGUGGCAAGCGUUGUCCGGAUUUAUUGGGCGUAAAGCGAGCGCAGGCGGUUUCUUAAGUCUGAUGUGAAAGCCCCCGGCUCAACCGGGGAGGGUCAUUGGAAACUGGGAGACUUGAGUGCAGAAGAGGAGAGUGGAAUUCCAUGUGUAGCGGUGAAAUGCGUAGAUAUAUGGAGGAACACCAGUGGCGAAGGCGGCUCUCUGGUCUGUAACUGACGCUGAGGCUCGAAAGCGUGGGGAGCAAACAGGAUUAGAUACCCUGGUAGUCCACGCCGUAAACGAUGAGUGCUAAGUGUUGGAGGGUUUCCGCCCUUCAGUGCUGCAGCUAACGCAUUAAGCACUCCGCCUGGGGAGUACGACCGCAAGGUUGAAACUCAAAGGAAUUGACGGGGGCCCGCACAAGCGGUGGAGCAUGUGGUUUAAUUCGAAGCAACGCGAAGAACCUUACCAGGUCUUGACAUCCUUUGACCACUCUAGAGAUAGAGCUUCCCCUUCGGGGGCAAAGUGACAGGUGGUGCAUGGUUGUCGUCAGCUCGUGUCGUGAGAUGUUGGGUUAAGUCCCGCAACGAGCGCAACCCUUAUUGUUAGUUGCCAUCAUUUAGUUGGGCACUCUAGCAAGACUGCCGGUGACAAACCGGAGGAAGGUGGGGAUGACGUCAAAUCAUCAUGCCCCUUAUGACCUGGGCUACACACGUGCUACAAUGGGAAGUACAACGAGUCGCGAAGUCGCGAGGCUAAGCUAAUCUCUUAAAGCUUCUCUCAGUUCGGAUUGUAGGCUGCAACUCGCCUACAUGAAGCCGGAAUCGCUAGUAAUCGCGGAUCAGCACGCCGCGGUGAAUACGUUCCCGGGCCUUGUACACACCGCCCGUCACACCACGAGAGUUUGUAACACCCGAAGUCGGUGAGGUAACCUUUUGGA
rnacentral:rRNA from 1 species